GGCCCCUUAGCUCAGUUGGUUAGAGCAGUCGACUCAUAAUCGAUUGGUCGUGGGUUCAAGUCCCCCAGGGGCCACCA
rnacentral:tRNA from 5 species